CCUUAGGAGAACAAAAAGCAAGAAUUAGUAACUUGGCAGUUAAAUUACCAGGAUAAAUUAAAACGCCUGCUCCCAGACUGAGAGAAUGUUUGCCUGCCCUAAGUGUUUCUAGAUGUUCACGCCCUUCCCCAGGUACCUCCUCAUCUCUGGAACCCGUGAGGACAACAUGGCACCGAGUCAGAGGAGCAGGAAUUCACACUGAGGCAGUGAGGCCCAGCUAGCCGGUGCUGGUGCAGGAAGGGGCUGUGAGACUGGGGAUGUGGGCAGCCUCCGGGAGCUGGAAAAGAGUGGUUACACCAACUUGUAUAAGGCAGUGCGAUCACUCCACGUUCCCACUGGCUGUUCAGUUUUGGACAUCCUGGAGCAGACACUUGACCUAGCACUUAGCACGCUGCUCAGGACACUGCUGCUUGAGGCCAGUGCCGGGGUUCCAUCCUGCUCCCUGCCAAUGCUGACUUCGGAGGCAACGGAGAAGCAAGUAACUGGCCUCCUGCCACCUACUUGGGACACGAGCACUGAGUUCCUGGUUCCCAGCUGUGGACUGACCCAGGCCCAACCACAGUGGGCAUUUGGGGAGUGAACCAACUGAUGGCAGCUCUCUCUUAUUUCUCUGCUCUUCAAAAUAAAGUGAAUGAAUUUUACCUCUUUCCUGGGUUUAGGACUCCACAGUUUUACCUUGAACCACUGACGAGUGAUGACCUGGGACAUCUCUUAUAAAUGAUAAGGUUAGACCUGAUCCGAUUAAAAAUAGUAUGAGGUGUGGGAUACAAUUAAAUUUUUUUUCUUUACUUUACAAAGAUCUACCCAGUUCUAGCAUUGUUUGUUGAGAAGAACCUCCCUCUGCUAUUAACUUGUCAUUUUUGUUAAAUUCCCCAUCCAAGUUCUAGCUCUCACUUCGCACUCUUCUGUUGCAUGGAUCUGAGGUGUGUCCUUGGGCUGGGAUUCAACUGUUUUUGGUUACUGUAUCUUUCAGUAAGUCUUACAAUCAGGCAGGAAAAUUCAACUUGCCCUUUUUAUGAAGUUGCUCCAGCUAGUGCAGGCUCCCAUGCCUUUGGCAUUUAUGAGAUGCCCAUGCCUGGGACUGCCAGCCAGCGCUGGCUCCUCUGACUCUAGCUUCCUGCUAACAGAUCCUGGGAGGGAGUCCUGAUGGAUCCAGGACCUGGGCUCCCACCACCACAUGAGGCUGGUGUUCUGGUUGCCUUUUUCCUCACCAGUUCAGCAUGACUCCCUUAAGCAUUUAAGGAGCAAAUCAGUGGUUGGGAACUCUAUCAAAUUUUAAAAGCAAACAGGGAGGGGUUGAUACUGUGCUCUAGAGGAUAAAGCUGCUGCUUGCAAUGCUGACAUCCCCAAAGGAGCACCAGUUCCUGUCCUGGCUGCCCUGCUUCCAGUCAGCUUCCUGCAGAUGGCCUGGAAAAACGGCAGGAGAUGGUCCGAGUACUCCCAACAGAAACCUGGAAAACGCUCCUGGCUUCAGCCUGGCACAGCCCUGGCUGUUGUGGCCAUUUGUGGAAGAAACUGGCAGAUGGAAGAGCUCUCUGUUUCUCUUAACUCUGAGGUUCAAAUAAACAAAUCAUUAACAAAUAAAUAAAGGGUGUUUCAUAUGUGGGAACUGUCCACUCGGACACUCACAUCCCAUUUCAGAUCACCCGGGGUUGAAUUCUGGCUGCAUUCUCCGCUCUGCCUCUGCACUGCACAUCCUGCCUGCAAGCAUCCUGGGGGCACCUGCCGAGUCCCUGCCACGCCCGUGUGAGACCCACAGUGCAUUCAGACCCUGGCUUGGCCUGGCACAAUUCCAGCUGCUUCGGGGACUUGAGGAGUGAAGCAGCAGAUAGAAGAACUUUCUAUUUUUCAAAUAAAAAAAAAGAAAUGGAUAAAAAGUUUAAAAAUACAAAGUUCUAGCUUGCUGGGAUUUUUACUGGGACUGAACUGGCUCAAUGUUUCGAUCAAUUUGCAGAAGUAGCAUUUUACACCACAAACCUGAUUUCCAGGUGCUUGCCUGGGUGCUGCCAGCUGCUGUGUUUGAGCUCUUUGGAGCAAACUCUGGCAGGAACUGAGGCUUUGAAGCCGCAGUCCCGCAGUCUGAGAGGAACUGAAUCGCCCCAACAAGCGCCUGACUUAAUGAGGAAGCGAGUCGUCCCUAGCCAGUCUGAGAUGAUUGCAGCCGCGAGACAGAGGAGCCAGUUAAGCUGCCCCAGACUCCCAACCAUCAAAGCCACGGGACAGUAAGUGUUGCUUUCCAAUGCUGACUUUCGGCUAAUUGCUACGCAGUAAAAGUUAAUUACUCCAACAUCGGCAGGUUACUCAUCAAUACAAAGCUUGUCAUACUCCUUUUUCAUGUCUUCAAGGUCUAAUUUUCUUUUAGCCUGGGUAAAAGUGACAGAAGACUUAAUGAACCUGCAGAUGGUACAUGGGACAUUACCUAAUCUGAACAACACAUACAAGAAGAUGCUUGGGAAGAACCUGUGUGAAUGUGACUGAAGGUGAGACAUCUAUGUCAUUAGGAGACAGCUGAUU